GUGUUGUAUGAAAGGAGGGAAGGUUAGCAUGCCCCUUGACAAGGAUGGAAGAGCCCCUUGAGACUGAAAACACACAUACGGUUAAGGCAUUGCCACUUACUUCGUGGCCUUUAACCAUCCUUCCUG